GCAUAAUCAAUAGUUUUUUAAUUGAAGACUGGAAUGAAAGAUAGAAACUAAGAAGGGAUGUUUUAUUCAAUAAUUUUGAACUUUAAUUUGUAGUUAAAAUGCUAUAAUAAUUCUUUGGGACGAGAAGACCCUAGAAGCUUAAAAAUUAAGAAUUUUUUUAUUGGGGCAAUAUAUGAAGAAAAAAUUUUUGUAAUAUGAAAGAUAAUUUAAAUAGUUACUCUAGGGAUAACAGCAUAAUUUAAUUGAAGAGUUCUUAUCAAUAAUUAAGUUUGUGACCUCGAUGUUGAAUUAAAA
rnacentral:rRNA from 1 species